GUCUAGCCCUGAUGGGAACGGUAUCCUUGUGGUUCCGGGGUUCGGGACCACAAGAUAUAGUGUACAGCAGGACGACUG
rfam:Flavobacterium sp. LM5 Flavobacterium_sp_LM5_contig1, whole genome shotgun sequence.